GACGAACGCUGGCGGCGUGCCUAACACAUGCAAGUCGAACGGGACUUAGUGGAAUGCGGCUUCGGCCAAAGGAAGCUAAGUUUAGUGGCGAACGGGUGAGUAACGCGUGAGGAACCUGCCUUUCAGUGGGGGACAACAGUUGGAAACGACUGCUAAUACCGCAUAAGCGCACAGGACCGCAUGGUCUGGUGUGAAAAACUCCGGUGGUAUACGAUGGACCCGCGUCUGAUUAGCUAGUUGGUGAGGUAACGGCUCACCAAGGCGACGAUCAGUAGCCGGCCUGAGAGGGUGAACGGCCACAUUGGGACUGAGAUACGGCCCAGACUCCUACGGGAGGCAGCAGUGAGGAAUAUUGGGCAAUGGGCGCAAGCCUGACCCAGCAACGCCGCGUGAAGGAUGACGGUCUUCGGAUUGUAAACUUCUUUUGUAAGGACGAAAUUCUGACGGUACUUAACGAAUAAGCCACGGCUAACUACGUG
rnacentral:rRNA from 1 species